rnacentral:tRNA from 1 species
GCCGGAGUGGUGGAACGGCAGACACGGAGUGCUCAAAAUACUCUGCCCUCUGGGCGUGUGGGUUCGAAUCCCACCUCCGGCA